GGUUGUUGUGUCCUGGUCCUUUCAGCAGACCAACAACAGGUACAGCUGAGAGGAAGGGCAGUGUUGUUAUUCAGAUGGUCGUGUUACUGACGGGGCCGGGGUCGUCGUUCAGGGAGUCUGACGACCCGGUGAAGACACAGGCGAUGAACCGGCUCAGCAUCUACGUCACACCUGUUUCCUCCAUUUUGGAUGUGGGAUAAUUUCAGCUGGACUUGGACCACCAUCUUCAUGAAGACAUACUUUCGUCAUGAAGAGUACAACUCAAAAGCUCUGUUCAAUGAUUGCUCUGUUCACAACAGGAUUUGCAACCAGUGGCAACCUGGGCAUCGUUCCUCCCUCACGGGGCCCAUUCCACCCCGGUCCAGCAGAGGGCGCCUCCCCUCAUCCCGACACGCUACUAUUAAGGGAUUUACACCCUUUUAUUAAAAGGGACUUACAGUGAAAUCACGUCAGUAGCAGGUCAGGGAUCAGCAUCUUUCACAGGGAUACCAAGGUGGAGGGAAAAUCCUACCCCUUGUAUGUAAACAGCACAUCACUUACUAACUGACUAUCUGAAGUCUUUUCUCCAAAAUCUGUUAUAUAUAAAGUCUACGUCAUAAAUACAUAUGUAACUAUCAUGUAACUACUAUGAUAGUUAUACUAUAACUAUUACACAAUACAGGCCCUGCUGUCACAGCCAAUAGCCAAAUAUCCACAACAUUUGAGUAGAUUUCCUAUACGGUAGCAUAGAUCUCACUUUGGCUGUGGGACCUUUAAUGAAUCCUACCCUAUUACCCACCUUUUAUAGGCCAUGAAGACCACAUUGGGUCACAUUAUGAAUAGUGAUGGAAAUCCACCUGUGUGUGUUAUCCAGUAAUAACACAUUAACAUAGUCUUCACAAAAGUUUGUAUUGUUCACUGAUUGCAGAAUACAUUAUUUUAUAUUAUCUAGGAAAACUUCUUAAAUUGUCAUGGUAUGAGUGGCUAGUCGUGGUGACAUCUCUCUCUCUCUCUCUCUCUCUCUCUCUCUCUCUCUCUCUCUCUCUCUCUCUCUCUCUCUCUCUCUCUCUCUCUCUCUCUCUCUCUCUCUCUCU